GGCGCCCGAGUGCAACUCGCGGCCAGCUCACGGGAGCUCAGUCGGGGUUUCCUCUGCCUUCCGUAUCGUCACCGGGGAUCGCCUACUCCCUGCUUCCGGAAAACACGCCCAAAGGACCACCACCGCCUCAUACGGCGUCUCCGUCUACACGACUGCUCUGCCAUCAACUGGUGAGAGACUCCCCAUUGCUGUUGCGAGAAGUGAAGCGCAUAUUCGUUGCUCUCCGUUCUGCAUACGAGUAAGGAGGUCCGCAGAGCAUCAGCUCCGCGAGCUCAACGUAAGAGGAGGCAGUCAAGAGCCGAAAGAUUGCUACCCGUAAUCACAGCGCGAGUGGUUAGCGUUCGAUCCGACCGGGAGGGAUGGCGCGUGCAGGCCUGGCAGAGGUUCGUGCCGGGACGUCAGGCGGGGGUCAGACGUCAGAGGGGCUCCGGCGGACGGCGCGUGCUGUGCUGUGCGACCGAAAGAUCUUCAACGGUGUCAUUGCGUGCGAUGACUUAUGUUGACGGUAUUCCUUACACGAUCGAGAUAA